UGGGGAAUAUUGCACAAUGGACGAAAGUCUGAUGCAGCAACGCCGCGUGGAGGAUGACACAUUUCGGUGCGUAAACUCCUUUUAUAUGAGAAGAUAAUGACGGUAUCAUAUGAAUAAGCACCGGCUAACUCCGUGCCAGCAGCCGCGGUAAUACGGGGGGUGCAAGCGUUACUCGGAAUCACUGGGCGUAAAGAGCAUGUAGGCGGGUGAAUAAGUUGGAAGUGAAAUCCUAUAGCUUAACUAUAGAACUGCUUCCAAAACUGUUCACCUAGAGUAUGGGAGAGGUAGAUGGAAUUUCUGGUGUAGGGGUAAAAUCCGUAGAGAUCAGAAGGAAUACCGAUUGCGAAGGCGAUCUACUGGAACAUUACUGACGCUCAGAUGCGAAAGCGUGGGGAGCAAACAGG
rnacentral:rRNA from 1 species